CGAGCGGUAUGAUUCUUUCGGGAAUCAGAGAGCGGCGUACGGGUGCGGAACACGUGUGCAACCUGCCUUUAUCUGGGGGAUAGCCUUUCGAAAGGAAGAUUAAUACCCCAUAAUAUAUUGAGUGGCAUCACUUAAUAUUGAAAACUCCGGUGGAUAGAGAUGGGCACGCGCAAGAUUAGAUAGUUGGUGGGGUAACGGCCUACCAAGUCAGUGAUCUUUAGGGGGCCUGAGAGGGUGAUCCCCCACACUGGUACUGAGACACGGACCAGACUCCUACGGGAGGCAGCAGUGAGGAAUAUUGGACAAUGGGUGCAAGCCUGAUCCAGCCAUCCCGCGUGAAGGACGACGGCCCUAUGGGUUGUAAACUUCUUUUGUACAGGGAUAAACCUAGAUACGUGUAUCUAGCUGAAGGUACUGUACGAAUAAGCACCGGCUAACUCCGUGCCAGCAGCCGCGGUAAUACGGAGGGUGCAAGCGUUAUCCGGAUUUAUUGGGUUUAAAGGGUCCGUAGGCGGAUCAGUAAGUCAGUGGUGAAAUCUCAUAGCUUAACUAUGAAACUGCCAUUGAUACUGCUGGUCUUGAGUAAGGUAGAAGUAGCUGGAAUAAGUAGUGUAGCGGUGAAAUGCAUAGAUAUUACUUAGAACACCAAUUGCGAAGGCAGGUUACUAUGUCUUAACUGACGCUGAUGGACGAAAGCGUGGGGAGCGAACAGGAUUAGAUACCCUGGUAGUCCACGCUGUAAACGAUGCUAACUCGUUUUUGGGUUUUCGGAUUCAGAGACUAAGCGAAAGUGAUAAGUUAGCCACCUGGGGAGUACGAACGCAAGUUUGAAACUCAAAGGAAUUGACGGGGGCCCGCACAAGCGGUGGAUUAUGUGGUUUAAUUCGAUGAUACGCGAGGAACCUUACCAAGGCUUAAAUGGGAAUUGAUCGGUUUAGAAAUAGACCUUCCUUCGGGCAAUUUUCAAGGUGCUGCAUGGUUGUCGUCAGCUCGUGCCGUGAGGUGUUAGGUUAAGUCCUGCAACGAGCGCAACCCCUGUCACUAGUUGCCAUCAUUAAGUUGGGGACUCUAGUGAGACUGCCUACGCAAGUAGAGAGGAAGGUGGGGAUGACGUCAAAUCAUCACGGCCCUUACGCCUUGGGCCACACACGUAAUACAAUGGCCGGUACAGAGGGCAGCUACACAGCGAUGUGAUGCAAAUCUCGAAAGCCGGUCUCAGUUCGGAUUGGAGUCUGCAACUCGACUCUAUGAAGCUGGAAUCGCUAGUAAUCGCGCAUCAGCCAUGGCGCGGUGAAUACGUUCCCGGGCCUUGUACACACCGCCCGUCAAGCCAUGGAAGUCUGGGGUACCUGAAGUCGGUGACC
rnacentral:rRNA from 1 species